rnacentral:rRNA from 1 species
CCUACGGGUGGCUGCAGUAAGGAAUAUUGGUCAAUGGACGCAAGUCUGAACCAGCCAUGCCGCGUGGAGGAUGAAGGUCCUCUGGAUUGUAAACUUCUUUUAUUUGGGAAGAAACCCACGAUUUCUAUUGUGGUUGACGGUACCAGAUGAAUAAGCACCGGCUAACUCCGUGCCAGCAGCCGCGGUAAUACGGAGGGUGCAAGCGUUAUCGGGAUUCACUGGGUUGAAGGGGUGCGUAGAAGUCCGUGGUGAAAUCCCCGAGCUUAACUUGGGAACUGCCGUUGAUACUAUCUGUCUUGAAUACUGUGGAGGUAAGCGGAAUAUGUCAUGUAGCGGUGAAAUGCUUAGAUAUGACAUAGAACACCUAUUGCGAAGGCAGCUUGCUACACAGUCAUUGACGCUGAGGCACGAAAGCGUGGGGAUCAAACAGGAUUAGAUACCCGGGUAGUC